UGACCUCAAAUCAGGUAGGACUACCCGCUGAACUUAAGCAUAUCAAUAAGCGGAGGAAAAGAAACUAACAAGGAUUCCCCUAGUAACUGCGAGUGAAGCGGGAAAAGCUCAAAUUUAAAAUCUGGCGGUCUUUUGGCCGUCCGAGUUGUAAUCUAGAGAAGUGUUAUCCGCGCUGGACCGUGUACAAGUCUCCUGGAAUGGAGCAUCAUAGAGGGUGAGAAUCCCGUCUUUGACAUGGACUGCCAGGGCUUUUGUGAUGCGCUCUCAAAGAGUCGAGUUGUUUGGGAAUGCAGCUCAAAAUGGGUGGUAAAUUCCAUCUAAAGCUAAAUAUUGGCGAGAGACCGAUAGCGAACAAGUACCGUGAGGGAAAGAUGAAAAGAACUUUGGAAAGAGAGUUAAACAGUACGUGAAAUUGCUGAAAGGGAAACGCUUGAAGUCAGUCGCGUCGUCCAGGGAUCAACCUUGCUUUUGCUUGGUGCACUUUCUGGUCUGACGGGUCAGCAUCAAUUUUGAUCAUAUAUUGGAAAAAGAUUGAGGGAAUGUGGCAUCCUCGGAUGUGUUUAUAGCCCUUGGUCAAAUACAAUGGUUGGGAUUGAGGAACUCAGCACGCCGCAAGGCCGGGUGUUUACACCACGUACGUGCUUAGGAUGC
rnacentral:rRNA from 1 species